rnacentral:ncRNA from 1 species
AUAUAAAGGUCAUAAAGGGUUAAAGUUUACCUAAAAUCUCUUUUUAUGCGACCAUGUGUGCUCUCACAUCUUAUAUCACUACAACAAAAUCAACUUUUAGCGGCAAUAAAUAAACACAUUAAUAAAGACUGCUAAAGAAAAUGGGGUUGUGGGAGAGCAAUAGAAGCGUCGUGCUGCUAGGCGAAGCAGCCUGAAUGCUGCACCCUAGAUGGCGAAAGUCUAGUAGUCGAAAACAUCACUAGCUUACGCUCUGACCCGAGUAGCAUGGGGCACGUGGAAUCCCGUGUGAAUCACUAAGGACCACCUUGCAAGGCUAAAUACUCCUGGGUGACCGAUAGCAAAGUAGUACCGUGAGGGAAGGGUGAAAAGAACCCCCAUCGGGGAGUGAAAUAGAACAUGAAA